rnacentral:rRNA from 1 species
UACGUAGGGUGCGAGCGUUAAUCGGAAUUACUGGGCGUAAAGCGUGCGCAGGCGGUUCGCCAGGUCAGGUGUGAAAUCCCCGGGCUCAACCUGGGAAUUGCGCUUGAAACUAGCGAGCUUGAGUGUGGCAGAGGGGGGUGGAAUUCCACGUGUAGCAGUGAAAUGCGUAGAGAUGUGGAGGAACACCGAUGGCGAAGGCAGCCCCCUGGGUCAACACUGACGCUCAUGCACGAAAGCGUGGGGAGCAAACAGG